rnacentral:lncRNA from 1 species
UGUGUAAUCUUGCUUGCUGGGACCCAAACUGAUCUCAAGAGAUGAUCCCUCUACUAUUGAGAAACUUUCCAAGAACAAACAGAAGCCUAUCACUCCAGAGACUGCUGAAAAGCUGGCCCAUGACCUGAAGAUUGUCAAGUAUGUGGAGUGUUCUGCACUCACACAGAAAGGCCUAAAGAAUGUAUUUGACGAAGCAACAUUGGCUGCGCUGGAGCCUCCAGAAUCGAAGAAGAGCCACAGGUGUGUGCUGCUA